UCCCACCAAACAACAAACCAUUCGAUCAACCAACUAACUAACUUGAUAUUUGUUAUAAUUUAGGAAUACUACAGAAUUUCCUGCUAUUUUUGCAGACUCCAGUUUUGUCCAGGACACAGGGUCUAUAUACAGUAGUGAGGGGUCUAGAUGGGUGGAUGGAUGUCAAUAUUGUUUCUCUCUUUGGGAAUCUGCCACAAGAUCUAUUGUAGCCCAGGGUUGUUGGAAAGGUGAAUGUUCCGCAUCCUCCUGUGUUUCAGAUUCUAAAUUAGGUGUCUCUAGAAGUUAUGAAUUUUGUUGUUGUGCAGGGGACUCUUGUAAUUCAAACUUUCAAACAGGUGUAGAGAAAAUUAAAUCUGCUCGAACCCCUCCUUCCAACCAACAUCUUAGUCUAGGNUUUUGGAG